CGCUCCCCAUCCGCUGCGUUCUCUGCUACACGCAACGACUUGCUCCUGUUUCCCAACAGUCGAGCAAUUGUUUCCUUCCUUGCAGAUGAGAAAUUCGGAGUAAUCUUCAGACUUUUACACCUCUGACCUUGAACCACUCUGUGGCUUCGAGGCACAUGGUCCUGCCCGCGAGGGCCCGGCACGAUUUUUACCGUGCUCGCAAUUGGCAUCAGAAAUGUACAGGGCCUCAAGGUCGGCAUCCGCGUGGUGUUUGUGUCUUGAGGGAUUCCCUUUGGAAGAGCCGUUGCGAAGAUUGUCUGAAGGUCACCUGUGUGACCUUCCUUACUUGAGUGCAAUCGCAGCGGAAACCUAUCUACUUCCUCUUUGGAGUGAUAGGGUUUCAAUUCGAUUCCGAUUACUCUGGGGAGCG
rnacentral:RNase_P_RNA from 2 species